rnacentral:rRNA from 1 species
UGGGGAAUAUUGCACAAUGGGCGCAAGCCUGAUGCAGCCAUGCCGCGUGUGUGAAGAAGGCCUUCGGGUUGUAAAGCACUUUCAGCGAGGAGGAAGGUGGUGAACUUAAUACGUUCAUCAAUUGACGUUACUCGCAGAAGAAGCACCGGCUAACUCCGUGCCAGCAGCCGCGGUAAUACGGAGGGUGCAAGCGUUAAUCGGAAUUACUGGGCGUAAAGCGCACGCAGGCGGUUUGUUAAGUCAGAUGUGAAAUCCCCGGGCUCAACCUGGGAACUGCAUUUGAAACUGGCAAGCUAGAGUCUCGUAGAGGGGGGUAGAAUUCCAGGUGUAGCGGUGAAAUGCGUAGAGAUCUGGAGGAAUACCGGUGGCGAAGGCGGCCCCCCUGGACGAAGACUGACGCUCAGGUGCGAAAGGCGUGGGGAGCAAACAGGAUUAGAUACCCCUGGUAGUCCACGCUGUAAAACGAUGUCGAUUUUGGAGGUUGUGCCCCUUGGGGCGUGGCUUCCGGAGCUAACGCGUUAAAUCGACCGCCUGGGGAGUACGGCCGCAAGGUUAAAACU